UGAUCGAGGUGCUGAAACAGGAAUACAGGCUUUCCAGCAUGUCAAAAAAAAAGCUUGCUUCAGGAAUAGCCUUGCAAGUAUGACAGAGCACCAAGUUCAGCUCAUGUGCAUAGCAGUGCACGUAGAUGGCCUCAGGGUGUUUUUCACGGAAACGAGUUUGCACGCCUCGCACUGACCCGCUCAUCACCGCUGCGCCAUCAUAUGACUGGGCAACAACUUUGAGACCGUCGAUGCCAUGUGAUCCCAGGACCUCCUCAAGGGCAUUUGUUAUGCUCUCCGCGUCAUACCCUCCCAGUCUUCUCAAACAAAGGAAUCGCUCCCUUAUGCGUUCCUGAAAGACGUAACGGACACAAACAGCAAGCUGCUCAGUGUUUCCAUCCUUGGCCUCAUCAGCCAUGAUGGAAAACAUUUUAGCUUCCCUCACCUCAUCCCUUAUCCUUGAUGUGAGCAGUGACGAGGAACACUUAAUGAAGUCAUUUUGGGAGGAAGGUGAAAGAUAGGUGGCAUUAGCAGGAGCAUUAUACUGUUGCAGGAAGGGAUCAAAUUUGGACAACAGCUGAACGCAUUCAAGGAAGUUUCCUUGGUUGGAGCUGCCCUCACCCUCGCAGUGCCCCCUGAAUGCAAUGCCUUGCUUGGCCAAGAAGAGCAUCACAGAAACAACGCGAUGGAGAUACAGUCUUCUUUCUGUGAUCUCCGCUGCACUAGCAGCAAGUAUUUGCUCGGUAACAUCCCCAUGGACCUUGGUUGCCUUGUAACCUAUCCAGGCCAUCAUGGAAGCCUUGUGAAGAGCCGUCUUCUCAUGUUCCCUAAAAGAAUCAAGAGCCCUCUUCCAAUUACAAUAGCCAGUGGUGGCCAGGCCAUCUUUAUUUGCCCUCUUCUCCGGUUUGCUGAACACCCGACAGCAAAAACAGAGGGCAGCAUUUUUGGCUGCAGAAUAUUCAAGCCAGUUGAAUGAUUCGUACCAGAUCUUUUGGAACGACCUCUUCUGGAGUCCAAAAUAGGUCGAUGGGAAGUUGAUGUCUUUCACCUGCUUCGGACCUGUGUCUGGACUUCCUAAUGUGCCCUCUCCUGUCCUUCCCUCAUCACUCCUCUCUGGCUCAUCUGUGAUGCAACACAAUUAAGCAGCAAAAAGCUGACACUCGGACAGUCUAUGCUGUGAUAGUAGCACUUCUAAAGGUAGAGGAGCCAUGUCAGGUAACCUUUUGACCCAGAAAAUAUACACAACUAGCUGUGCAAAAUAGAAAUUUUGGUGAGGAUGUCGGAGGUGACCAUGUGAGAACAAAAAAAUUGACGACAGGUCCAACAAACAGGAUUUUUGGACCAAGACAGUCAAUGGUGCCUCGUCUUUGAACCAUGACGGUCAACAUGACCCUGAUGGCCGCUUGAGGACAACACUCCCCGUAAGUGAAAAUGUACAAAGGUGAAAAUGUACAUGUAAUGUGCUCUAGAUAGAUGGACGCUUUACGGGCUAAUUCAAUUUGGCCUUCCAAUCAUCGUGUUUCUGCCUAAUCCAUCCAUACAGUUAAGUGCAAGAUGCACACACCCAGGUGCUUGCCUGGUAAAGAAAAACGAAUCAGAGGGAAACAAAAGAAAGACCUGCACACAUUCUAAAAACCUCCCACAAAUCUUAAUUUCACAACAUUUCCAUCAGGAUCUCAUUCGCUCUGUGAUUUUAAGGAAGAUCCUAAGUGAUUGAAAUGUUAGGAUUUGUGGGAGCUGCAAGAAUGUGUGCAGGUCUUUCUUUUUCUUCUUUCUGAUUCUUAAAACUCUGCCUCUUGAUCUCAAGCAGGCGUGUGUUGAAUGAUACAAUGAAUGUGAUUGUGAAUGUUACAAUACGUUGUGUUGCUUUAGAUCACUGAAGCUUAAUUUAAAUAAUGAAAAAAUAAUCUUCCCAGACUGUUUCUGUUACUUGCUUAUGCUGUAGGCAAGUUGUGUAAGAAGCUUAUCUCUAUAUAAAUCUGAGCUGUACAUGAAUCUGUUAAUGAAGUCUCAUUUCGACUCCUUCCUCCACUUCACUAUUCAUGUUCUGUUGCUUGCAGUUAACUACAGCCGCCCUUCCUGGGUAACGCCACCACCAAUCCCUGGUCAUCCAUUGAAGCCAUCUCUCUCACUCUGCGCACACAGUCACACUGUUGCCGCUUCAUUCUCAUUGUCUCAUAAUCUCAUUAUUAUGGCUGCUGUGGAUGCUUUAAAAAAUAAACAUUUUUCUCUCAGGUAAAAUCAAACCAGUGGGAUGUUAGAUUGAAAACCUCCAAAGCAAUGUAUUAAAAAUUGAAAGAACAGUCCUAUGUGUAGUUUCUUUUUUGGGGAUUUUCAAAAUGAGGUACCAAGCUAGAAUGGAUUGUCAACCCACUGUUUCUCAACCCUCUCCGAUUAUUACUAUGAGUAGUAGUAUUGCAUGCAUACAGUACUAACAUCAGUGCCACAGUAAGCCUAUAGAGGCUGCAACCAUUUGCUUCUCAAAAGAUUGUAGUGUUUUAGA